rnacentral:lncRNA from 1 species
GUUCCUUCUCUUUCAUUUUCUACCCAUCAUUUUCUCUCUUUUUUGUAGCUCUUUCCAGCUCUCUUUUCUCACCUUGUCUACUUUAGUACUUCUCUUAUUAGUCUUACAUUUAUCUUAUGUAUUGCUCCCCACUGCCCUGUUUCUCUCUUUCUCUCCCUCUCUCUCUCUCUCUCUCUCUCUCUCUCUCUCUCUCUCUCUCUCUCUCUCUCUCUCUCUCUCUCUGUCUGCACUGAUCUGAUAUAUAUNNNNNNNNNNNNNNNNNNNNNNNNNNNNNNNNUCUCUCUCUCUCUCUCUCUCUCUCUCUCUCUCUCUCUCUCUCUCUCUCUCUCUCUCUCUCUCUCUCUGUCUGCACUGAUCUGAUAUAUAUUGUAGAGAUAUUAAACUCUGUGGUGUGUUUGAGCUCCAGCUGCGUGUGAGCCAGAGCGGUGGCAGAUGGAAGAACUUCACUUUCACCCAGCUUCAGGCUUUUCCAGAGUCAUAGCACACUGAUUGGAAACAGAAGCAAAUCCUCAUCAAGGGUCAAAAUACAGACGGACAGCUAAAUGACAGGUUUAUCCAUAAUUGUAGAGCAGAACCCGAGAAAACAUGAGGAAAUCUUGACAAGCUGCACUGGAGAACAAAACAAAGUGCAGGAUUGCAGCUAACGAGUAUACAAGACUUGACGGAGAAACAAUGAGAACAGCAGGGCUGUCCCUGGACCUGAAGGAAAAGGAGGCGAGCUGGUCUUCAUGCAAACAGAGAUGCGAGUCUUUGCAACAGCAGCUGUUGGUGUGGCAACAGAAGGAGGAGGAGGCGACCUGGCAGCUGGAGAGAGCAGAGGGCGAGGGGGAGGAGCUUAGAGCUGCCCUGCAACUCGCACAUGCACACUCCGCCACUCUGCAGCAGGGGAGGGAGGAGCUGGAUCGUGCUCACAGAGAGCAGCUGAAGGAGCUGGAGGACGUGUUCAGAAGGAGACUGGAGGCCGCUGAUGUGGAGAGGUCAAAGGUAAGAGGUGUUUUUAAUAUGGAUGAGCCUAUUUUUUAGCGAGGGAAUCUACUGUUGCACUGACUGGAGCACAUUAAAUUAUUAUUCUUGCACAUUUGCACAUUUAUAUUAUGCUUCUGUUGUCAUCUUUUUCACCAUCUUCAUCUUUAUCUUAUUCUUAGUUUGUAUUGACAAAACAAAUACAUUUGAACACUCAACCAGCAAACUGG